GGAGGAUAAUGCUCAGUGCUAGAGCACAUGCCUAGGACGCAUGAGGUCUGGAGUUCAAUCCCAAGUACCUCCA
rnacentral:tRNA from 1 species